rnacentral:tRNA from 1 species
GGGCCCAUAGCUCAGUUGGUCAGAGCCCCCGGCUCAUAACCGGAUGGUCCCAGGUUCGAAUCCUGGUGGGCCCA